UACGUAGGGGGCAAGCGUUGUCCGGAUUCAUUGGGCGUAAAGAGCGUGUAGGCGGCCAGGUAGGUCGGUUGUGAAAACUGGAGGCUCAACCUUCAGACGUCGACCGAAACCAUCUGGCUAGAGUCCGGGAGAGGAGAGUGGAAUUCCUGGUGUAGCGGUGAAAUGCGCAGAUAUCUGGAGGAAUACCGGUGGCGAAGGCGGCAUCCUGGACCGAGAUUGACACUGAUGAGCGAAAGCUAGGGGAGCAAACGGG
rnacentral:rRNA from 1 species